rnacentral:rRNA from 1 species
UACGUAGGGUCCGAGCGUUGUCCGGAAUUACUGGGCGUAAAGCGUGCGCAGGCGGUUUUGUAAGCCAGAUGUGAAAUCCCCGGGCUUAACCUGGGAACUGCAUUUGGGACUGCAAGGCUUGAGUGCGGCAGAGGAGACUGGAAUUCCUGGUGUAGCAGUGAAAUGCGUAGAUAUCAGGAGGAAUACCGAUGGCGAAGGCAGUGUCCUGGGGAGUACCUGACGCUCAGGUGCGAAAGCCAGGGGAGCGAACGGG